UCUUUUAUAAUAUGGUAAAGCAGUAAUUGGUUUCCAAGUUUUACCAUAGGUGAUCCUGUUUAUAUCAAUGGGUGUAGUAUCCAUAAAAGCAUUUUCUUGGUUUUGUAUGGUGUCUUCUAUAAUUGUUUCUACCUCUUAGAGCAUCAUUGUUUCAUGCUCUGGUAUUUUUUAUUUUCCUUUAUCUGAAGAUUCAGGUAUAUUUGGCAUAGGAAUACUGAGUUUGGGAGAAGGAAUUCCUUUAAUGUCCAAUUACGAUAGUUUCGCUAUUAACUGAUCCAUUAAGGUUUUAUUAUUGUCACCAAUAUGAAAUUUAUUUUUAUUAAGUUCUAGAGGUGGUUUGAACAGGACUGCUUUAGGAAUGGAAGGAGUUACCUCCUUUGAAACUAGUCUUUCUAUACGUUCUGCCUGUUUUCCUAAAGACUGCAUAUAUAGAUUAGUAUAAUUGUUUUGUUUCACAAUAUGGGGAAUAAGUUCUUGUUUUUUACCUAUUUCUUUGGGUAAUACUUUAUAUGGUGUGGCAAUU
rnacentral:lncRNA from 1 species